rnacentral:rRNA from 1 species
GAUGAACGCUGGCGGCGUGCCUAAUACAUGCAAGUCGAGCGAACGGACGAGAAGCUUGCUUCUCUGAUGUUAGCGGCGGACGGGUGAGUAACACGUGGAUAACCUACCUAUAAGACUGGGAUAACUUCGGGAAACCGGAGCUAAUACCGGAUAAUAUUUUGAACCGCAUGGUUCAAAAGUGAAAGACGGUCUUGCUGUCACUUAUAGAUGGAUCCGCGCUGCAUUAGCUAGUUGGUAAGGUAACGGCUUACCAAGGCAACGAUGCAUAGCCGACCUGAGAGGGUGAUCGGCCACACUGGAACUGAGACACGGUCCAGACUCCUACGGGAGGCAGCAGUAGGGAAUCUUCCGCAAUGGGCGAAAGCCUGACGGAGCAACGCCGCGUGAGCGAUGAAGGUCUUCGGAUCGUAAAGCUCUGUUAUUAGGGAAGAACAUAUGUGUAAGUAACUGUGCACAUCUUGACGGUACCUAAUCAGAAAGCCACGGCUAACUACGUG